rnacentral:lncRNA from 1 species
CGGGCCUUUAUUUCUCGUCGGCGGCGCCCCGCACCGCGCCUCGCAAAUGGAGACGGGGUUUCACCAUGUUGGCCAGGCUGGUCUCAAACUCCCGACCUCAGGCGAAUUGUCUGCCUCAGCCUCCCAAAGUGCUGAGAUUACAAAGGCCGAACACCAGAGCACCCUAGAAGGUUUAACUAAAAGAAUGCUCAUGUUUGACCCAGUUCCUGUCAAGCAAGAGGCCAUGGACCCUGUCUCAGUGGUAAGUUUUCCAAAAUUGAACACCUCGCCUUAUUUUUUCCAAGGGAUGAUAACAUCAUUGUGUGUCAAAUUAUUCCUUAAAAUCAUGGCUGGGUAUGGUGGCUCACGCCUGUAAUCCCAGGACUUCGGGAGACCGAGGCGGGCGGAUCACCUGAGGUUGGGAGUUUGAGACCAGCCUGACCAACAUGAAGAAACCCCGUCUCUAUUAAAAAAUACCAAAUUAGCCGGGUGUGGUGGCACAUGCCUGUAAUCCCAGCUACUGGGGAGGCUGAGUCAGGAGAGUUACUUGAACCCGGGAGGCAGAGGUUGCGGUGAGCUGAGAUAGCAGAGAUCGCGCCAUUGCACUCCAGACUGGGUAACGAGCGAAAGUCCGUCUCAAAAAAAAAAAAAAGAAAAAAUCACUCAUUACUCGACAGGCAUUUCAUAGGCAAACUUUUCUCAACGCCCCCAGGUAUGAGUGAGCUAAAUACUGUCCUAGCAGCUGUGGGUCCUUUAGUAAAUGGGAUCUGCGCUUCCUUAAGACCUGUGCCCGGCAUCGCCCUAGGAUAUGAUCAGCGUAGAACUUAGGCCAUCGGCAAAUCCUUUCAUGACAGAAGUAAUUUUACAAAAAUUCCUCAGCCCUUUCGUGUGUAAAAAUAUAUUAAGAAUAGGAUGAUUUGCUUAAAAACCAAUGACAACAGCCAUAUGGAGCUAUGACUAUAUGAGAGAUGACUGAGGGAAGCCAGCGAGAGAAAGAACUUGGCAGUGAGGAUGGAAUCUCGUUUAUUUGGAAGAGUCUGGCUGGGUGGGAAUUACGUGCAUUGUCCUUUUCAGCACCUUAGCCCUAAGUCAGCCCCUCAGGGGAGCCAGGCCACUGGCUGCUCUUAGGCCACCAGGGACUAGCGAGGAGUCUGGGGUUUCUGCGGGUACAACACCAGUGCCAUGGAGGUGAGACAUGGUGACGGAGGAAGGUGUCUGACUUCAGAGCAGGGAGUGGUUUCAGCUUGAGGGAUCUGGUUGAGUGAAUAUUGAAUAACAAGGCAGCGCUCCCACUCUGUCUUGCUCUUUUCUUCCACGGGCUUGGAAAAUAUUCACAAGGGGGAAAACUUGGCCCCGGUUGUGUAUCUGAAGGUUGGUAAUGACACGCUUGCAAAAUUAGAUCAUCCUUAUGCAUGGGCUCUGGAGGUUCCUGCCAAAAAUGUUUAUACAAGACAUGGGGGUCACGCCGAGGCCCUUGGAGCUGAGUUGCCAUGGAUAUUACUAAGCCAGUAAAGUGUUUACCAGUAUCUAUAAUGCAAGUUAAGGCAGAAGGGCUUUAAGGAAAUAACAUUUGCAUUCCAGCGUGAUAACUGAAUAACCAAGUGUCUGAAUAUGGUAGCAACUGAGCAAUAAGGAUUUUAUUAAUCAAAAAACUAAAUUACUUUUUUUUUUUUGAGAUGGAGUCUCACUCUGUCGCCUAGGCAGGAGUACAGGGGUGUGAUCUCAGCUCACUGCAACCUCCGCCUCCUGAGUUCAAGUUAUUCUUCUGCCUCAGCCCCCAUAGUAGCUGGGAUUACAGGCGCCUACCACCAUGCCCGGCUAAUUUUUGUAUUUUCAGUAGAGACUGGGUUUCGCCAUGUUGGCCAGGCUGGUCUUGAACUCCUGACCUCAGAUGAUCCACCCACCUCAGCCUCCCAAAGUGCUGGGAUUACAGGCAUGAGCCACCGCUCCUGGCCAAACAACUAAAUUACUUUGAAUGUUAUUCGGUGCUGUCGUUGUAUUCAUCACAUCCCCAUCCCCGGCAUCACUACAUGAUCACGUUAGAGGAAAAUGAAGGUACAAAAUUUCCCCAUUAAUUAUAUUCUUGAAAUAGGAAUAGGUUUGUAGCACUGGAGAAUAUGAUUCAUUUUACAAAUGGUGCAGAGCCAUCAGUGAGGCAUUUCACUGGUCAGUGUACUUCCAGUACUUUUAAUCAAGCGUGAAAAUAAGGCUCAAGAGUCUAAUAUAAAGCUAAAAUGAAGAUCCACAUUGCUAAAUUGGUGUGACAUAUGUAAUUAAGUGCAAGGAAAUGCACUUAACCGAAAAAAAAAAGUGGAAUAAAAUGAAUUUGAAGUAACUAUUAAACUUGCAUUGUUUUAACGUAUUAAUACACGAAGUUAAAAUAUGGAGGAGUGAUUUUGCAGUUAAUGGUCUUUUUCUCCUUCAUGUGCUAGAUUUCAACUGCAACUGACACUUUUAGAAUUUAGUUUCACCCAGUUACUGUCAGUCCUUCAAAAUGAAGAUUGUUUUUUUUUCUUGUUUUGGUUUUAACUUUAUUCAGCAGGAAGUAUUUUUUUCUUAAUUCAGUGCAACCUAAGUUAACAGAAACAUUUGAGGAGUGGGGUGUUAAAAUGAUUUUACUUAAAAAAAUUAAAAAGCUUUUGUUUCCACUCUUAAAUCUUCAAAUUUCAUCUUUCCUGCCUUCAUAUGUGAAGUAUAUUGAACCUAAUUUAUUAUUCCUUUUUCUUUUUAAUUCAGUCUUUGACCUGAAGGUCAAAGUCUUUGGCUAUUCAAGUCAACGUUGUAAACAUUAAGGCACGAUAGGACAUUUGUGAAAAUAUUUUUAAUUUCUACAGAUGAAUAAAAAUAUUUUAUAGUAACUUAUUUCUCCCCCUAUUCCCACCCCCUAAAAGGAUAGCACAGCAGAAACAAUCGCUUGUUUGCGCUUUUGCUAUAGGUUAGAGAAAGUGAGGACAUGUCAUUUCCCUCUUAACCACAUAUAAGCCCUCAUACUGUUCUCCACUAGCUUUGUGCUUUGAGGCUUGGGGUCACCCUGUUAAAAUUUGCAAGAAUGAGGAACAGAGUAGACUCUGCCUCCCCAAGUCUGUGCCUUCAGUCUCUGCUAUUUACUGUCGCUCUGAUCUUGGCAAAAUCACCAGCAGCUCCCCGAGUUUCUGUUUUUUUAAAAAAAAAAUUACAAAAUAUGAAACUGUGUAAAAAAGAUGCACAUGUACAUAAAUUGUUUUUUUACCAUUUCCCAAAAGAUUGAUAAUUAAAGGAUUUAAUUCAGGAAGUGAGUAAGGAAACAAAUUGUAAAAACCAAAACAAAUCAAAAAACAAAGUUUAAAGUAUUCUUCUAUUCCUGUGGAAAGAUUGCUUUUGAAGAAAGGAUUAAUAAUAUUCUGUCAUCUUUGGUCAUCUAACAGACUGAAAGUAUAGAUAGGAAAGUAUGUCAAAUCAGUAAUUUCCUCUGCUCUAACAGAAACAUUUCAUGGCUUUUUCAAGCCUGGUAGAAAGAGAGCAUUCUACCUCUGUGUGCAUGGGGCUGCGUGCCAUUUGCUGUUCCCAGAGUGUGUGUUUAUACAUGCAUCACGCCUUCCUGUGCCUGGAACCCUCUCUUGGAUGAAGAUUCUUUUGACUUGCCCUGUCACGGACAUUCACUUUUUUUCAUGUUGAUGAAUAGUGAAAUAGAGAUUUCAUCCAUGUUUUAGUCAUUUCAUCCACUGAAACUGUCUUAUAAUGGAAAACUCGCCAAAACUAUUCCUAAUAAAAUAAGAAACUAUUGCAAUUAUCACCUUAGCAUAAAGUGGUAGUUAGAACUUUGGGAAAUUAUCCAAACGUUGUACCUCUUUCCCUGUCACAAUUAAAAUCAUUUUUUUAAAGUUCAAAAUAAUUGGCAUAUUAUUCUUCACCUUAUCAGUAGUAAAAACUUGAUAAGAGAGUGUGUUAACUUACUACACAUUCAACAAGUAUUAACUGAGCACCUAUGCCAGGCCCUCAUCACCUCACAGUACAGUGAGAAGCAGCAGACAGUAAGUAAAUGCACACUGUGCAGGGGUGUGAACAUCUGAGUGCAUGUUACAGACGGAAAGAAAUUUUUCUUAUGGCAGAUCAGUGGUUUUGUUGGGGGGGGGGGAAUGAGAUUCUUUUUCCUUAACCAAUUGGCUGUGGCCGACUAACUGACCGCUCUCGCCU